rnacentral:rRNA from 1 species
CUUCGGGAGUACCAACCCNUGGUGGGGGCGGGGGGGGGGUUGAAGACCGGGGACAUAUUCUCGGAGCAUUUUGAUCUACGAUUACUACCGAUUCCCACUUCACGGAGUCGAAUUGCAGACUACNAUCCGGACUACAACGCACUUUAUGAGGUCCGCUUGCUCUCGCGAGGUCGCUUCUCUUUGUAUGCGCCAUUGUAGCAGGGGGGUAGCCCUGGCCGUAAGGGCGAUGAUGACUUGACGUCAUCCCCACCUUCCUCCGGUUUAUCACCGGCAGUCUCCUUUGACUCCCGGCAUCACCCGCUGGCAAAAUGAGAUAAGGGGUGCGCUCGGGCGUGACUUAACCCAACAUUUCACAACACGAGCUGAAAACAGCCAUGCAGCACCUGUCUCAAGUUCCGAA